CAGCAGCCCAGGGGGCAGCAGAGCAUCCUGCCUCCACCUCCAGGGCCUGUGCCGUUGGGGAAAGUAGGACAAAAACGCCGCAGGAACAUCCGCAGGCGACCACAUGAACACACACACCGGUGUUUGACGGACUAAAUGGACAACAUGGUAGCGUCCCAAAAGUGAAUCCAAAGCAUUUCUAUUGCCCUCUGGUGGCUAGCUGCAGUAUAGGCCACAAAGCCCACCUCCUCCAUGCAAUUGACAUAGGUAGCCAGUGGAGUUUGAUGAGCAGUCGAGUGAGACGUGCCCUUUAAGGCAGAUUGAAGACUGGAUGCACCACCGCACAUUGGAGGGUUUCACUGCACAUGAAGGGAUGCUGGUCCGAAGGCCGAUGCAGUAAUCAAGUUGAGCGAUAACGAUGACCUGUACCAAGAGCAGGGUGGCAUAAUGAGUCAGUAAAAUACUCACUGAGCCCUUCUGUCCCGUCUCACCUGAUUUGAAUGCCGUUUCAGUAGACCCACUGUUUCAACUUCUACCUGAGGUCUAACGACAAAGCCUGAGGGGAACUAGUCCACU